GAUGAACGCUGGCGGCGUGCCUAAUACAUGCAAGUCGAGCGAACAGACGAGGAGCUUGCUCCUCUGACGUUAGCGGCGGACGGGUGAGUAACACGUGGAUAACCUACCUAUAAGACUGGGAUAACUUCGGGAAACCGGAGCUAAUACCGGAUAAUAUAUUGAACCGCAUGGUUCAAUAGUGAAAGACGGUUUUGCUGUCACUUAUAGAUGGAUCCGCGCCGCAUUAGCUAGUUGGUAAGGUAACGGCUUACCAAGGCGACGAUGCGUAGCCGACCUGAGAGGGUGAUAGGCCACACUGGAACUGAGACACGGUCCAGACUCCUACGGGAGGCAGCAGUAGGGAAUCGUACGCAAUGGGCGAAAGCCUGACGGAGCAACGCCGCGUGAGUGAUGAAGGACUUCGGAUCGUAAAACUCUGUUAUUAGGGAAGAACAAAUGUGUAAGUAACUAUGCACGUCUUGACGGUACCUAAUCAGAAAGCCACGGCUAACUACGUG
rnacentral:rRNA from 1 species